rnacentral:rRNA from 1 species
CAAUAGCGUAUAUUAAAGUUGUUGCGGUUAAAAAGCUCGUAGUUGGAUUUCUGCUUUGCGAGGCCGGUCACCACUACGUGGUUGUAUCUGGUUCUAGCAGGGCAUCCUCGUCAAAAUGCUUGCUGUGCUUGAUUGCAUGGUGGUGUGUUGGCGACUUUUACUUUGAGGAAAUUAGAGUGUUCACGGCAGGCAAUCGCCCUGAAUAUAUUAGCAUGGAAUAAUAAUAUAGGAUCUGAUGCCUAUUUUGUUGGUUUCUAGGUGUUAGAUAAUGAUUAAUAGGGACAAUUGGGGGCAUUCGUAUUAAGGCGUCAGAGGUGGAAUUCUUGGAUUGCCUUACGACGAACUACUGCGAAAGCAUUUGCCAAGGAUGUUUUCAUUGA